AUAACUUUCAUUUUCUCCCCGUGGGCCCGCGUGUAGCUACGUAUUGACGUAAUAUUUCUCUCAGGAUCCUGAAAUUGAGACACUGGACUGUACAGCAGGACAUAGUGCACUGAGGUGCUAGUUCCAUAGAUGGCAGCAAUGCAACUUUUUGGAUGCCGGCUGCCGUAAAAGCCCAAAAAGAGAAGAAGAAGAAGAAGAAAGAAGAAAAAGAGCCAGGAGGAGACAAGUUUCAAGAAAGGCCUGUACGAACAAACCAGACAGCAGAUGAAUGACCAUCUUUCUUUGUAGUCCUGUUACUCGGGAACAACACCAAGGUGAUCUUCUUGAGAAUAUGGCUCUAUUGCUAGGUCAAGGCCUACAUGCCAGGGACAUUCUUAUUGACAACUGUUCCUGGCUGUCUACAAUUCAGUGAAGGAGACAGUAAAUCGCCCUUGGGUCUUUUCAGUGCAUUCAUGCUCGUAGUAUGAGCGGCCUCUACCUACUCACUGUGUGAUUCAGUGUCAGAAUCUUCUCUUUUCAUUGUUUUUUUCCUCUCCCUUUUUGACAACAAAUGACAUUUUUCUCAAAACAUUGUCAUAUUUGCUGCAUGUCACCCUUGGGGUAUAGACUACCGUUGCUCACAAGCGAAUGUGCACCAGUCAAUAUGACCCAAGAGUGAUCACUAAAAGUCCUUAAAAGUGGGCGAAGGUCUUCAAUACAGAACAAGCAGGUUUAAACCUUGCAGAAGAAUGAAUCUAAUACCUGUCAUUGUUGCCUUUUUCUUUCUGUCCAAGAAAAAUUAAUUUAGAGUAGAGUUUCCAACUGAGCAAACGCCUGUUCAAUCUAACUCUGUACUCAGUAAUGCCACUUAUGUCAGUUAGUAAGCUGAGGUUCACAUUCAGUGGCUGUUGUUUUGUAUUAUUUUAGUGGCUGCACACUCCAUCAGUCAAACAAGAGCAGAUCAUUGGUUUUGUUUACGCUAGGUGCAUUUUGGUUUCAUUUAUAUCUGUAGUUGAUCAAAAACAUCUUGUACGCUUACAGUGGAACUGAUAACGCAAGGCGCUAGCAUUCAUUUUGAGCCAGAUACAAAGGGACAACACAUAUGGUUGAAAUGUGUGCUCUACAUGCAUCAUAAUUCACUUUGGACAAAGGCAUCUGUUAAACAAAUGAAUGGGAAUGUAGAUCUCAUAUUCAUUGCGGUGGGAGCUCUUUUGUGGAGGGCUGUAUCAUAAGGAUGAUUCAACGCAGGGCUCACCAGUUUUCUUAAUUGCACUCCCUUGACAAGUUUAUGCGCUUCUGAAGCAGUGUGUCGCCUUUUAUGCUGGCUUGCAUCAGCACUUGCGGGUGUUAGUAAUCUUAAUUAUAAUGUACACCGUCUAGUCGGACUCUGCAUCUCUCAGAGGCCUCGACGAGGUGUGUAAUUGUUGCCGAGUGGAGGCUGUUAGUGCCUGUCACACGCCCCAUCAAGACCACAACACAUCCCACCGCUGUAGUGGUGCUCACACUCUGACUUAUUGUCAUGGACAUUACAAGGUGUGUGUGGGAGGCUGAAAGAGGAGUAGUCUCUACCAUUCGAUACACACCCUUGGUUUAGCAGACAUGUCAAGAGAAUGUUUCUUAUUUCUUGUCUCAUAACAGAUCGAUUAGAGCAUUAACCAAGUGAAAGAUUCAUUGUAGCGAGUGUUUAGUUGUUAGAGAACAGUAUAGAUCCAAGUCCAUCACAGCACCUUUUAGAGAUAGCAUACGAUGCUUGGUACACGAUGGACACCAGGCGAAGGUAAUGCUUCAGAAUUUGUACAUUAGCAACACACAAGAUAAACACGCUGAAAGGAUUUGUGAACAAAGACAGCUGAAGCCGUUGAGAGAGAGAUGUUGCGACAUUCUGAUAUCCGUCACUGCGAAUAAGCUACUUAUCAGGUCCGGCGGCCCAAGUUUGAGCAUACAGAGAUGUAAUAAACGAAAACAAACCAGCAAAUUGACCAGGACUUGUAGUAAGCCUUCUUCAAACCCCUCACACUUCAUGUUGUGAUUAGUGUGAUGCUAGAAGUGCAUUCUCUCUAGGCUACAAAACAGUUGAGAUCACUGGUAGCAUAAUCCAGAGGUUGUUCGUCACACUUCUGUGUGAUAUUUUGAUUUGUCUCUGUUUGAACAUCUUCUGAACUGUGUUGUUGGUGUUUUAAAUUAAAGUUUUCAAGUUUUUUGAAGUAGUUACCUCAUGGCAUUUCGACAAAAACUUUUUACUGCAGCUUCAUUUUAGGCUAAAACUCUGUGGGCCUGUAUCUACAGCAGGCUGUAUUAUAGACAAUAUGAAAAGCUGUAAAAGCCCUAACUCUUAGUUCCUUGACAGCUGACUGUCACCAGAGACUUUCUGAGGAGACACAGCACUCAAUGUACAGUAUGGGGUUAGUUGUGCAAUGCAAUCAUGGCAGUCGUAUUCUGCCCCUUCCGCCGCCAAAUGUUUUAAUAACGUGCCAAUAAUAUGGUAUGUUGUGAAUACAUCGUGCCAGUUAUGUGCUGUGAUCUUGCAGCUGCAGUCAGCUUGGUGUUGGUGGUUGGUGAAAUUUUGCGCACACGCAGUACUGCCCGAAAUCGAUGCCCGAUAAGUGCCCAAAAUGUACUGCAAUAUGGUCACCGAGUGGAGGGUCUUGCCUAAAAGGACUUUACUCUCACUCCAUGACUAGUUUCAGACUGAGCCUUUUCCACAAACUUAAUGCGCUUACACUCCCCAGUGUCCAUAUCAAUUUAUUUACUGUUUAAGACACAAGCUCUGUAUUAAUUAGAAAGAAAGUGAUUGUGCGUUUGAGAGUGAGAUUGUUAGAAAAAGCACAAAUAUUCAUAUUUUUCAUCCCCCUAUCAAAACAAAUUUCACUGCAUCUCUUCUAUGGAAACUCAUUGUAGUCAAAGUAUUCAACCAACCUCCUUUUGACCUUUUGAUACUGACUGUGAUUUCAACAAUGCAUAUUGAUAGUUUUGUUGUGUGGAGGAUAUGUCAAAGGGAACGCUUUCUGUUGUUUAGGGUUCUGUUUAGACACAGAUCUAAUAUUUCAUAAUUACAUAGUUCUCCACAGAGAUGUCAAUGGACUGAUUUCUAUGCUCUCCUUGCAUUUUCCACUAUACAGAAAUCUCCGUUUGAUUAGGGACAGGUUUUAGCUGGUUAAACAUUUCACUAAAUAUUUUUUUCUGUCCAAGCUGUGCUUGAAAUUAAAAUGUAUUUGCGGAAGCUCUGUGUUUAAUCCUGUAUAAUUCAGGGAUAUUUUCUCAGAUUGUGCUAUAAUUAGAGAGAUAAUCACUGUUAAGAAAGAGAUGUGGGGCCAUUCUAUGCAAUCCAUUAAAUAUGAUCCUUUUGAAAGCUUUUCAUCACACGUUAUACCAACAAUUAUAAAGAAUUCUAAUGAGGGCAUUAAAUCUAAAGGCACACCAAAAUGCACAUCAGAACUCACUAUGUGGCCAUAUGACCCUUUUGUAAAGGUGUAUGAAGGUACACAUGACUGAUAUUGUUGCCGAUGGUUGACUGCCACAGGACACACUGCCUGUCAAAGUAUUUUUUUGUCCACAAUCCUCUUUUGCUUGACUGCUCACAAAUUUCACAUUUUGGACAGUAUCAUAACCUCCCCCUCCUACUGAUACCUCUAUAUUCUGGUCAGAGAAGACAAGGUUACAUCUGGGAUAGGAUUGGCAAUUAGUUGUGUCAGAUUAAAUAAAUAGUCUGGCACAAUACAAGUCUAAUUAAAAAUGCAAAUGAACCGCACCAUGUAUGAUGCAUAUUCAUAAAGUAUGGUGCCAAAAAGUUCCACACGAGGUGUGAGCAAAAUAAAAGAUA